AGCAGCGGUUCCCCUCCAUACUCGAGUCUCCUGCUUGUAGUCCAUGUGAUGUUCUGCUCUUGUCAGGACCGUGUUACAGCAAGACAAAAGUCACAACUCAUCCAGAUAGUUGAAGACACUUAAGAGAUCAGCUAGUGUAGAGACUCAUCAAUUCAGAAUCUGAAGUUUUCAAGGACCUUGAUGAAGGACAGGAGAAGAAUCUUUACAGCAGUCUGCUUUGUACACUCUUGGCAUUCUCUCAGCCAGACUCAGGUAGUCUCCUGGAUUGGUUUUCCAACAAUCUUGAAGGAAUUCUCAGAGGUGUUGAGGACUUGUUGGCUGCUCUUCCUUCACUCUCUGGUCCAACUCAUCAUAAACCACCUCAGUUGGGUUUAGAUCAGGUGAGUGUGGAGCUCAUGUCAUCUGAUGCAGCAGUUCAUCACUCCCUUUCUUGGACAAAUACCUCUUACCUAGUGGUAUGUUUGUUGUUAUUGUCCUACUGAAAAACAAAUGAUGGCCUCACUAAAAGCAAACCAGAUGGGAUGGCAUGUCACUGCAAAAUGCUGUGGUAGCCAUGCUGGUUAAUUGUGCCCUCAAUUUUGACUAAGUCACCAACAGUGUCACCAGCAAAUCACCCCCACACCAUCACACCUCCUCCCCCAUGCUUCACAUAUUCAGGAAUUGUCUGUUCACCCUCUCUACGUCUAACAAAGAUAUGGUGGUUAGAACCAAAAAUCUCAAACUUGGACUCAUCAGACUAGAGGAGAGUUCUCCACUGAUCUUAUGUCCAGACCUUGUGUUUCUUGGCCCAAGCAAGUCUCUUCUGCAUGUGGUUCUUCCGAAGUAAUAGUUUCUUUGCCGCAAUACGACCAUGAUGACCUGACUUCUACAGUCUUCUCUGAACAGUGGAGGUUUAAAUAUGUCUGCUACUUGAUCCCCAAGAAGCAUUUAUGUGGGCUGUAAACUGAGGUGCUGUAUUUCGGCAGUUUCUGAGGCUGGUAAUUCUAAUAAACUUCUUCUUGGUAGCAGAGGUAGCUCUGAAUCUUUCUUGCCAUAACAUUGUUUUAUACAGUAGUUGUAGUAGCACUAAUAGGGCUAUAGACUCUGUACACACCCUUCCUCUUCUCAAGAUAACUGAUGCUCUAAACACAGUAAGAAGGCAAGAAAUGUCACAAAUGUAUUCAAGAAGACACACCUGUGAAUUAAAAACCCUGCCAGGUGACUACGCUGUGAAUCUGAUGAGAGAAUGCAAUGAGUGUGCCAAGCUGUCAGCUACUUUGGACAAUCUAAAAUAUAAAACAUAUUCUGGGUUGUUGAACACUGUUUUUGUUUUCUACAUAAUUCAUGUGUUGUUUUAUAGUUUGAAGUAUUAGUAUACAAUGUUGAAAAUAAUAAAAAAUAAAGAAAACUUCACUGAAGGAGAAGGUGUGUCCAAAUUCCAAACUUUUAACUGGUACUGUGUGCAUUAUUGUAUAUGUAUGUAUACAUGUGUGUAUAUGUGUGUGUGUGUGUGUGUGUGUAUUAAAUCUCACAGCAAG